GUAUUUCAGAAGUUGACAUUUUGAGUAAAGAACGAGAAAAAGAAGUGAAAGCCGACUACUAGUGUUUGAUUACGUAACCUCCCGAGCCAGACAGAGGCUGAAAUGAGGACCUGCAUAAAGAGCCAUAAAUAAGGAGCUUUUUGAACUGUAAUUCAUGUUCAGAUAUUCCAGUAGAGACCCAGAAUAAAAAUAUAAACCUGGAACUGUGCGUGUUAUAUCCCCUUUAAAGGAAAAUCUUACAAAAACGACUGUAAAACAUGCAGACAGACAGACCAACAACUGUCAGACAGGCAGAGGCCAACAUGGUGUUUCAUUGGCCGCUGUUAUGUUGUUUCAUCUGACUCAAACUGUCCUCCUUUAACGAGGCCUAGGCAGCACUAAUGACGAGCCGCAGCCGUAAUUAGCCUCAUCAGAAGGACUCUCAAAGUGUUUAGAUUAGCUUAAUUAGCCUGUGUGUGAGCGUGCAAGCACAGAUGCACACAUGUGUGCACAAUAACACACACACACACACACACACACACAGAGUAAUACGCAUGCACGUAAACUCUCAGUCCCUAUAGACCCGGCCUCAAGCUAUUGCACUAACGCGGCUGAGAGUUCACGAAAAGCUGCUGGUUUUAAAAGUUAAAUGCCACUGUGUAAAUAUCUUUCCAGGGGAUAUCCAGGGAAUAAUCAACUUUUAAUUUAGCUGCUAAUCUAAUUAGUCGCCACAGUGCCUGACUGCCUCCCUGAAGUGAUUUGAAGGAAAAGAAGAGAGAAAGAGAGCUGAAAAACCUACAAGGAAAUUGCUUGAAAAAUCACUAUCAGAGGUUUCUUAGAUUUUCUGUCCUGGGGAUAUCACUACAUUUGUGGAAUUACAAUAAGGGUAAAAAUCAGAGAAAGAAGGAAAAAAAGCGAUGAGAGAGGGAAGAUUUUGAAGACUUUUGCCUGCAGAAGUGCGUCUCCCUCCCUUGUUAACUACAGCAAAGUUGAUGCAAUAGCAUAUUAAGUCAGUCGAUGGACUUUAUCAAUGCCAGGAUCCAUUAAUAGACAACAGCCUGCAGCACAAAGCUGCACUGCGGAAAAGGCUUCACACUUAGAAUUGGUACGAGUUGAUGUGUUUGUGUUUCUAUGAUUUCCAGAAUGAGAAACAAGAAAAAUGUGUGACAUUGAUUUAUAUAUGCAGAACACUUGAAGCAAAACAGAAUUGAAUCAUAUUUACUACAUGAACAAGCUGAUUCUUUAGAACAACAUAAUUUCUGGCGCAAAGUCAUUGCAGGGUUGAUGAGCCUCAAAGCACCAGGACACACAACUGUCCUACUUUAGAAAAGCAGCAAUUUUAUCACAUUCACACUGCGCUGAUGUGUGCUGCACUUUAGACCUCUAUGAUGACUUUAGACUUCAUAAAAUUCUAAUAAACCCAACUUGGAGUAUUACUGCUUAACUGGUCGAAUAUAACUUUACGAAUACAAACUGACAUAACACGGGACACGCUUCUUUUAACUUAACGUUCCAACGUUUAAAUACUUGUCAUUAGUCCAAUGAUCAACAGGAGGUGACUCACAAGUGACUGUAGUUGAUGUUUUAAUCUUUUAAAUCAUCCAUACUUACUAAAAUACACCUGUAUUAUCAUCAUUUUACACCUAUAUUUCAUAUUUUACAAUAAACCUGGUGCACGCUGUAAUUUAACUUUAUAUAAUAAACAAAUGUUAGCUGGUUUAAUAUGAAAAGAUUGGUUGGUGCUAACUGAGUUUAGAAAACAUCUGAACUUUUAUGUAAAUGGCAAAUUUCAGCCUGAAUACAUAACCUCACAGAUAGUCACUGUUAAUGUGUUAGUGAUUAUUUGUUUUACUGUGGAGCGAGAUACAAAUUGCACCUAUAAACAAUCUUUAAUCACCAGACUCCUGCCGUCGCUCAUGAUCUUGUGCGGUUGUGAUUAAUAGGAAGCUUAGUGGAAUUAAUGACAGCACUGAUAGUAAUGAGGAAAUACAAUUAGCAUAAACCAGCUGGUGUUUUGGUGUUUCAAGGCUCCUGGAUGGCUGGUUGCUUAGGAAUGCAGAAAUCAAAGACUGAGGGUGAACAGGGGUGUGUGUGUGUGUGUGUGUGUGUGUGUGUGUGUCUGUGUGUGUGUGUGUGUGUGUGUGUGUGUGAGUGAGUGUGUGUGAGAGAAAGCAUUGGCCUUUCUCAGUGUGUGUUCAGCUCCUCAGAGGGACUCAGUGGGAAGGAGAACAGGAGCUGCUGGAAGAGACGAACGAGGGAGGGAUGAAGAGAUGAAGUAUUUCCAGCGCAGCUCACAGUGAAGAGGCCAGGGGCUUCAUUAGAGAUAUCUGGAGGCCGACCCCAUCAGCCUGGGGGCACACGGGAGGGGGGGCUGGGGUCUAUACCAAACCGAACGCCCGUCUCUCUGCUGGAGAUGGACCGGGUUCCCCUGGGCUCCCCGCGACCGACCUCCUGCUUCUUAGGAUGGGCCAGAAAAAUCAACGGCGUUCCCCUUUGAACAACCUCCUCCUCCUCCUGCUCUGUCUCUCCUUCAUGCUAUCUCUCUUUCUCCCUUCGCUCCCUUUCUCUGUGGACCUAAUGAAUGAUUCAUUUAACCCCUCCACCACCCGCCAACACCACCACCACCACCACCACCACCACCCAAUUCCUCGCCUUUUCACCCAACCACCCAUCUACCAGGCUUCCCCUCCUUAACGCUUUAUUUUCACUCUGUUCUCCUUUUUAUUGCAAGUUGGGACUUUUUUUUAAAUAAAGGGAGAAAAGUAAAAAAAAAAAAAAAGCAGCUGGUGUGGCAGCACUGUGGUGGUGGGCAUGGAAAGGAAACAACAAAGGGAGGAACAAACGCCCAUUUGUGUCACAGAUCCCUCCGUGUAUCCCAUUAAAGGCAAUGUUUGACAAAUUACUUUA